UAAGUGGAAUUUCCAAAUGAAUUCUAAAAAAUUUACCACACAUUUUUAUGACAAUUACCCAUGCUUUCAUCUUUUAUUUGUUUCCCAUUUUUUCACCCUCAUCUAUUCAUCUGUGUAUUUUGACUUUUUUUUUUUAACGACUAUGGGACAUUGAUGCAUUGUUUAACGAUAGAUAAUAAGUCAUAAGGAAAAGAUGUGUCAUUGAUAGAUAUUAUUUUGUCAUUCUAAAUUAUUAAUUUACAUAGUAAUAGAUAUGGUUCUUAAUAAAAAAACACAAAUACAACAUUAUUAUGUUAAGUAAAAUAAAUAUAAUUAUGAAUUUAUUAUUUAUUUUAUGAGAUUAAUAUGUCAAGGAUAUUUUAGGAAAUAAAUGUAAAUGAAUCUUCCAUUCUGCAUUAAUUCAAAACAUGAUUUUUUGGAAUUCAAUUCAAAUACAUGUUUUAAGUUUUAACAUACCAAACAUGAAAAUUCAAUUUCAUAUGAAUUCUACCUUGAAUUUAUUCUGCAUUUUGAAUUCUAGCAUGCCAAAUGGGGGCUGCGAGUCAAAAUUAUUUCAACCGGAGUUUGAGUUUUAUAUUAUUUGCAUCUCUCUAUGGUAUAUGUGGUUAUUAGCAUUACUCACUUUUCUCUUCCCUUUUCUUUAAUCUCAAAUGUAGAAAGUGUGAAGUGCUUAUAUUGAACUUAACAACAUUUUUGUCUAUGCAGGUUGGUGAUUCUUGCGGUGAAUCUCCCACCAGAGGGAAGCCUGCAUGUACCAAGUUUACUAGGAUCAGC
rnacentral:misc_RNA from 1 species